UACGAAGGGGGCUAGCGUUGCUCGGAAUCACUGGGCGUAAAGGGUGCGUAGGCGGGUAUUUAAGGCAGGGGGGAAAUCCUGGAGCUCAACUCCAGAACUGCCUUUGAUACUGAGGAUCUUGAGUUCGGGAGAGGUGAGUGGAACUGCGAGUGUAGAGGUGAAAUUCGUAGAUAUUCGCAAGAACACCAGUGGCGAAGGCGGCUCACUGGCCCGGUACUGACGCUGAGGUGCGAAAGCGUGGGGAGCAAACAGG
rnacentral:rRNA from 1 species